rnacentral:rRNA from 1 species
AGAGUUUGAUCCUGGCUCAGAGUGAACGCUGGCGGCGUGCCUAAUACAUGCAAGUCGAACGAUGAAGCUUCUAGCUUGCUAGAGUGCUGAUUAGUGGCGCACGGGUGAGUAACGCAUAGGUUAUGUGCCUCUUAGUUUGGGAUAGCCAUUGGAAACGAUGAUUAAUACCAGAUACUCCCUACGGGGGAAAGAUUUAUCGCUAAGAGAUCAGCCUAUGUCCUAUCAGCUUGUUGGUAAGGUAAUGGCUUACCAAGGCUAUGACGGGUAUCCGGCCUGAGAGGGUGAACGGACACACUGGAACUGAGACACGGUCCAGACUCCUACGGGAGGCAGCAGUAGGGAAUAUUGCUCAAUGGGGGAAACCCUGAAGCAGCAACGCCGCGUGGAGGAUGAAGGUUUUAGGAUUGUAAACUCCUUUUGUUAGAGAAGAUAAUGACGGUAUCUAACGAAUAAGCACCGGCUAACUCCGUGCCAGCAGCCGCGGUAAUACGGAGGGUGCAAGCGUUACUCGGAAUCACUGGGCGUAAAGAGCGCGUAGGCGGGAUAGUCAGUCAGGUGUGAAAUCCUAUGGCUUAACCAUAGAACUGCAUUUGAAACUACUAUUCUAGAGUGUGGGAGAGGUAGGUGGAAUUCUUGGUGUAGGGGUAAAAUCCGUAGAGAUCAAGAGGAAUACUCAUUGCGAAGGCGACCUGCUGGAACAUUACUGACGCUGAUUGCGCGAAAGCGUGGGGAGCAAACAGGAUUAGAUACCCUGGUAGUCCACGCCCUAAACGAUGGAUGCUAGUUGUUGGAGGGCUUAGUCUCUCCAGUAAUGCAGCUAACGCAUUAAGCAUCCCGCCUGGGGAGUACGGUCGCAAGAUUAAAACUCAAAGGAAUAGACGGGGACCCGCACAAGCGGUGGAGCAUGUGGUUUAAUUCGAAGAUACACGAAGAACCUUACCUAGGCUUGACAUUGAGAGAAUCCGCUAGAAAUAGUGGAGUGUCUGGCUUGCCAGACCUUGAAAACAGGUGCUGCACGGCUGUCGUCAGCUCGUGUCGUGAGAUGUUGGGUUAAGUCCCGCAACGAGCGCAACCCCCUUUCUUAGUUGCUAACAGGUUAUGCUGAGAACUCUAAGGAUACUGCCUCCGUAAGGAGGAGGAAGGUGGGGACGACGUCAAGUCAUCAUGGCCCUUACGCCUAGGGCUACACACGUGCUACAAUGGGGUGCACAAAGAGAAGCAAUACUGCGAAGUGGAGCCAAUCUUCAAAACACCUCUCAGUUCGGAUUGUAGGCUGCAACUCGCCUGCAUGAAGCUGGAAUCGCUAGUAAUCGCAAAUCAGCCAUGUUGCGGUGAAUACGUUCCCGGGUCUUGUACUCACCGCCCGUCACACCAUGGGAGUUGUGUUUGCCUUAAGUCAGGAUGCUAAAUUGGCUACUGCCCACGGCACACACAGCGACUGGGGUGAAGUCGUAACAAGGUAACCGUAGGUGAACCUGCGGUUG